rnacentral:rRNA from 1 species
CUCAGAACGAACGCUGGCGGCAUGCCUAACACAUGCAAGUCGAACGAAGGCUUCGGCCUUAGUGGCGCACGGGUGCGUAACGCGUGGGAAUCUGGCCUUGGGUUCGGAAUAACAGCGGGAAACUGCUGCUAACACCGGAUGAAGACGAAAGUCCAAAGAUUUAUCGCCUGAGGAUGAGCCCGCGUUGGAUUAGGUAGUUGGUGGGGUAAAGGCCUACCAAGCCGACGAUCCAUAGCUGGUCUGAGAGGAUGAUCAGCCACACUGGGACUGAGACACGGCCCAGACUCCUACGGGAGGCAGCAGAAGGGCGAAUU